GCAUAUCAAUAAGCGGAGGAAAAGAAACUAACAAGGAUUCCCCUAGUAACGGCGAGCGAAGCGGGAAGAGCUCAAAUUUGAAAGCUGGCACCUCCGGUGUCCGCGUUGUAAUCUCGAGACGUGUUUUCCGUGCGGCUCUAUGGACAAGUCCCUUGGAAUAGGGCAUCGUAGAGGGUGAGAAUCCCGUACUUGCCAUGGAAGAACCGUGCUUUGCGAUACACGCUCUAAGAGUCGAGUUGUUUGGGAUUGCAGCUCAAAAUGGGUGGUAGACUCCAUCUAAAGCUAAAUAUCGGGGAGAGACCGAUAGCGAACAAGUACCGUGAGGGAAAGAUGAAAAGCACUUUGGAAAGAGAGUUAAAAGUACGUGAAAUUGUCGAAAGGGAAGCACUUGAAGUCAGCCAUGCUGCUUGAGACUCAGCCUGGCCUUUGGGCUUGGUGUAUUUCUCGGUGGCAAGCCAGCAUUGGUUUGGGUCGUCGGAGAAGCGCAUAGGGAAUGUAGCGUCUCCGGACGUGUUAUAGCCUUAUGCAGGAUCAGACGACCUGGAUCAAGGAACGCAGUGUGCCCUCUGGGCGGGUCUUCGGACACCUUCACACUUAGGAUGCUGGCGUAAUGGCUUUAAGUGGCCCGUCUUGAAACACGGACC
rnacentral:rRNA from 1 species